rnacentral:rRNA from 1 species
UAAGAAGGGCAUUUAGUGGAUGCCUUGGCGAUAAGAGGCGAUGAAGGACGUGGUACGCUGCGUUAAGCCAUGGGGAGCUGCGAACAAGCUUUGAUCCAUGGAUAUCCGAAUGGGGAAACCCGGCCCGCAAGGGUCAUCAUUAUCUGAAUACAUAGGGUAAUGAGGCGAACCUGGGGAACUGAAACAUCUAAGUACCCAGAGGAAAGGACAUCAAUUGAGACUUCCCUAGUAGCGGCGAGCGAACG